AUAGCCUUUCGAAUAACCAGAAGGUGCUAAUUAUUUUUCCACACCAUUUGGUUCAGACAAGGGCUUACAUCAAUUCAUCGGAUUAUAUAAUAUUAUUCCGUCGCCGAAUCCGUUUGAGGGAGUCGAACGCUUUUUCCUUUCGUUCCUCUCCUAGAUAGAUUCGAACAUUU
rnacentral:snoRNA from 2 species